GAUGCUAACCAACUUUUGGGCUAAUUACAGCCGUAGAAAGUCAUCAACUUUUAAUCUCAGCCGUUUAAAGUCUCUAAAUUCCUUCUAGAAGCAGCGGUUCUCGGCAGUUCAGCACUCUCUCACCCAUGAUCUUGCGGUUUUCUGCAGUUUAUCAAGAUGUACCAAUCAGAAAUGCAGGUUGCAAUGCGGUUUAAAAUGUGUUCCUUAUUUUCAGGGAGUUAGUGGCAACACAUCUGCAGCAAUGGAUAUCUCGGAUGACUUCGUGGACAUUUAUGAAGAAGAUCAGCCUGCAAAGAAACUGGGUUUUGAUGCAAUGACACCGAAGAAGAAUCAAAUAUGCAGCCCAAUGAAAGAUUCUCCGAAGACGGACAGUGGAAGUGUAGAGAUCAUUUCAUAUG